UACGGGGGGGAGCAAGCGUUGUUCGGAUUUACUGGGCGUAAAGGGCGUGUAGGCGGCCACCGCAAGUCGACUGUGAAAUCUCCGGGCUUAACUCGGAAAGGUCAGCCGAUACUGCGGGGCUAGAGUGCGGAAGGGGGCAACUGGAAUUCUUGGUGUAGCGGUGAAAUGCGCAGAUAUCAGGAGGAACACCGAUGGCGAAGGCAGGUCUCUGGGCCACUACUGACGCUGAGAAGCGAAAGCAUGGGGAGCGAACAGG
rnacentral:rRNA from 1 species